AUAUAUUGCCAUAUCAUGCUGCAGCCCAAGACCGGUUACUCACUGAAGCUAAGCAGGGCUGAGCCUGGUCAGUACCUGGAUGGGAGACCACUAGGGAACACUAGGUUGCUGUUGGAA
rnacentral:rRNA from 1 species